GACAGAGGCCCCGAGCGUUAAUCGGAAUUACUGGGCUUAAAGGGUGCGUAGGCGGACCAGCAAGUGCUUUGUGAAAGCCCCGGGCUCAACCUGGGAAUGGCAGUGGAAACUAGGGGACUGGAAUCUGGCAGAGGGGGGUGGAAUGCCGCGUGUAGCAGUGAAAUGCGUAGAGAUGCGGCGGAACACCGAUGGCGAAGGCAGCCCCCUGGGCUGAGAUUGACGCUCAGGCACGAAAGCGUGGGGAGCAAACAGG
rnacentral:rRNA from 1 species